CCUACGGGUGGCAGCAGUCGAGAAUCAUUCACAAUGGGGGAAACCCUGAUGGUGCGACGCCGCGUGGGGGAAUGAAGUUCUUCGUAUUGUAAACCCCUGUCAUGUGGGAGCAAAUUAAAAAGAUAGUACCACAAGAGGAAUAGACGCCUAACUCUGUGCCAGCAGCCGCGGUAAUACAGAGGUCUCAAGCGUUGUUGGGAAUCACUGGGCGUAAAGCGUGCGUAGGCUGUUUCGUAAGUCGUGUGUGAAAGGCGCGGGCUCAACCCGCGGACGGCACAUGAUACUGCGAGACUAGAGUAGUGGAGGGGGAACCGGAAUGCUCGGUGUAGCAGUGAAAUGCGUAGAUAUCGAGAGGAACACUCGUGGCGAAGGCGGGUUCCUGGACAUUAACUGACGCUGAGGCACGAAGGCGAGGGGAGCGAAAGGGAUUAGAUACCCGAGUAGUC
rnacentral:rRNA from 1 species